rnacentral:rRNA from 1 species
AUACGUAGGGGGCGAGCGUUGUCCGGAAUGAUUGGGCGUAAAGGGCGCGUAGGCGGCUUUGCAAGUCAGUAGUGGAAGUCCAUUUUUCAAGGAUGGAAGUGCUACAGAAACUGCGGAGCUUGAGUGCAGGAGAGGUUAUCGGGAUUCCCGGUGUAGCGGUGAAAUGCGUAGAGAUCGGGAGGAACACCAGUGGCGAAGGCGGGUAACUGGACUGCAACUGACGCUGAGGCGCGAAAGUGUGGGGAGCAAACAGGAUUAGAUACCCUGGUAGUCCACACCGUAAACGAUGAAUGCUAGGUGUAGGAGGUAUCGACCCCUUCUGUGCCGCAGUAAACACAGUAAGCAUUCCGCCUGGGGAGUACGGUCGCAAGAUUAAAACUCAAAGGAAUUGGCGGGG